UACAGAGGGGGCAAGCGUUGUUCGGAAUUACUGGGCGUAAAGGGCGCGUAGGCGGCCUGUUAAGUCGAACGUGAAAUCCCCGGGCUCAACCUGGGAACUGCGUCCGAUACUGGCAGGCUUGAAUCCGGGAGAGGGAUGCGGAAUUCCAGGUGUAGCGGUGAAAUGCGUAGAUAUCUGGAGGAACACCGGUGGCGAAGGCGGCAUCCUGGACCGGUAUUGACGCUGAGGCGCGAAAGCCAGGGGAGCAAACGGG
rnacentral:rRNA from 1 species